rnacentral:rRNA from 1 species
UGAGUCCUACGGGGCGCAGCAGUGAGGAAUAUUGGUCAAUGGGCGCGAGCCUGAACCAGCCAAGUAGCGUGAAGGAUGACUGCCCUACGGGUUGUAAACUUCUUUUAUAAAGGAAUAAAGUGAGGCACGUGUGCCUUUUUGUAUGUACUUUAUGAAUAAGGAUCGGCUAACUCCGUGCCAGCAGCCGCGGUAAUACGGAGGAUCCGAGCGUUAUCCGGAUUUAUUGGGUUUACAGGGAGCGUAGAUGGGUUGUUACGUCAGUUGUGAUAGUUUGCGGCUCAACCGUAAAAUUGCAAUUGUUACUG